CAGGGUCCUAACUUCGCUGGUGGGAGAGCUUUUGAAUCUCAGGGCCUAGGGCUUCGCUCCAGUCAGAAUUCCUGGGAGAAUAGGGGGAUUUCAAAGGGGAGGGAGGGGUCCGAAUUUCCAAUGGUAAGAAAAGGAAUUGGGUAGGUAGAACUUCAACAAUCAGCAGUUUGAUGUGAGGGAAAACCUGAAUCAGGGGCAAGAGCAAUAGUUUAAGCUAAUGGAGGACCGGAGAAGGAGGGGAGAGGAUAUCUAGGAAAGAGAGUAUCAGGCAAAGUUGCAAGAGGAGAGGCAAUAGAAAAAACCUGCAAAACUGAAUGAGACAAUCCAAUCUAGCGUGGAUGGGACUUCUAGGGGGGUGGGAGUUGUAAUGUAGACUAGAAGAACUGGGGGAGAGGAUCAAUCAAUUCAGCAUGACAGACUCAGACAACAAAAAGAGAUCAAAUACCUUGAUUCGGGGUGCAAUAGGUGUGGCAAGUUUGGGCAUAAGUCCGAGGAGUGCAAGAAACCUGUAGUUUGUCCUAGGUGCAGAAGAGAAGGACAUGUUCAGAGGGCCAGCACAAAGAUAAUGCCUUGGGAAUGUCUAGGUCCUUUCUGUGGUUUGGCUGCUCAAGGGCAAGGAUUCCACCUGAUUAUGGAUGGAGAUCAAGAUCAGGGAGAAAGGGAAGUGGCAAACUGUGCCCUAAUCACAGUUCUUGAUGGAACAUAAUGAAUGCUAGACAUAUUGAAAAUGAAUUCAGAGUACAGAAGGCUGGGCUUUCCUCAACUUGGAGGUGGUAUGCCAAGAAAAUGUCAGAAACCACUUAUCGGAUGAGAUUUCCUACAACAAAAAAGGUCGAGGACCUAUCUUUCUUUAUAGGAAUGCAUAUGAGAACUAUGCCAGAAGUAACUCUUAAAGUGGAAAAAUGGAACUCUAAUGUUGGUGCUAAAGCUGAGAUCAAUACAACCUGAUUCAGGAUCCUUGGAAUCCCACUUGAAAAAAGAACCAUCAAGAAAGUCAACAUGAUUGGAUCCUUAGUGGGUGUACCCUUGGAGGUUGACUCGGCAAAUUUGAAGAGGUGGGACUUUGUCAGGAUUAGAAUUGGGUGCAAAGACAUAACCAAAGUACCAGCUGUGGUGGAAGGGUUACUGGAUCUCCAUUUUUAUGACUUCCCCUUCCAAACGAAAGUUCCCCAAGAAGGUACAACUAAUGCUGCUGGAACAAGAUGGCCAAGAACAACUGAUAGACCUUCUGGUGAUGCACCAUCACAAAAAAAACCCAGAUGGGGACAAGGAACUUCAAGGUAGGGUGAUAGUGAUGGGGCAUGGGAUGAUCAGAAUGUGUCACACCCGGUUUCGAAAAUAAGAUCAGACGUAUCACAUAUAUGCAUCAAGUUUACACACAUAUGAAGGACGUUUUAAGUGAAUAUAUCAAAGACAAUGUUCAACAAUGUAAACAAAUGGAAAUAAGUACUUUAUUACACAUUCUGAAUAAUAGGCACGAAGGUCUUAGCGUUCCACCGAUAACCUAUACGAGAUCUUCAACAAAGCUUCAUUAAAUCCCACAGGAACUUUGACUGGUGAACGUGCCUAGAACUCCUCAAAGUCACUGAAGUACUCCACUUCAUUGUUCUCUUCUGAACAUCAAUUAGGCAAAGCUUUUAAUGGCAGAAUGGGUGUAUCAAAUCAGCCACAAAUGCAGUUCGAUUUACAUGGCUUGAUAAACAUAAAUAUGGAUCUGAGUUCCUUAGUGCAACCUUUUACUAAGAAAGAGAUUGAUCUUCUGAUCAAAAGGAUUCCAAUAGACAAAGCUCCUGGGCCAGAUGGGUUCAAUGGUAUGUUUGUAAAGAAAUGCUGGCUGAUUAUUAAGGAGGCCUUUUACAAAUUGUGUGAUGCUUUCUACCACUUAGAUGUGAAUCUAGAAAGUAUUAAUAACUCCUUCAUCAUGUUGGUGGCCAAAAUUAACAGUCCAGAACCUGUAAAUGAUUAUAGACCAAUUUCCCUACUCAAUAUGGAUAUUAAGCUUCUGACAAAACUUCUAGUAGAUAGAUUGCAGUUGGUCAUCUUACAGCUACUUCAUGCUAACCAACAUGGUUUUAUUCGUUCACGCACUAUUCAAGAUUGCCUUGCAUGGAGUUUUGACUACAUUCAUCAGUGUCACUAAACCAAGAAAGAAAUGAUCAUUCUCAAGCUAGAUUUUGCCAAGGCCUUUGACACAGUUGAACAUGAAGCCAUUAUUUUGAUGAUGCAACACCUUGGCUUUCCAGACUUGUUGCUUGAGUGGGUGAGGUUAAUCCUAAGUUCUGGUUCUUCUUCCAUUAUAUUUAAUGGGGGUGCUAGGUAGACAUUUUAAAUGCAAAAGAGGAGUUAGACAGGGUGACCCACUCUCACCCCUUCUUUUUGUGCUUGCGGCUGAACUGCAUCAAUAUGUGGUUAAUGAUGCAUUACAUCAGGGUCUAAUCAGAUUGCCACUUGCUCAGCCAACUAGUGACUUUACCAUCAUCCAGUUGCUGAUGAUACUAUCUUGGUAAUGGAGGCAGAUGUCAACCAGCACAUUCAGUUAAAAGGAAUUUUGCAAAAAUUUGCCAUCUCUACAUGUUUGGUGGGUAAAUACAGUAAAUCAAGUAUGAUCCCAAUAAAUGUGCAUCCUGAAAGGCUAGAUGUGCUUGCCUCUGCCUUUGGUACCCAUGUCUGUUUUCCUUUGUAAGAGACCAAAGAAUUUCAGUCAAAGAUGUCAUCGAGAUAGAGGAUCUUGAUACACUCUUUGACUCCCUCUCUCAGAUCAAGCUUUCAACCAGCUACAUGCUAUGCAAAUGGAACUGAUCUCAGUACCAUAUAAUGAUGAACAAGGAGAUAGAUGGGUCUUUAUGUGGGGCUCUCAUGAGUGUGCUCCUCACGAAAAUUUUAUGCUCUGGCUUUCAGGAAUAUGCACACGCCUCUCUCCUUCACUUGGCUCUGGAAAUUGAAAUGCACUCCCAGAAUAAAUUUUUUUGGCUGGUUACUAUUUGUUGAUAGAUUGAAUUCAUGAAAUAUGUUGAGAAGGAGACAUUUCCAUAUUGAUUAUGGCUACACAUGUAUCAUGUGUAGUCUUGGUAUUGAAGAGGAUAUCCACCACUUUUUCUUUGACUGUCCCUUUGCCAAAAGCUGUUGGCAAUCUCUACAGGUGCAGUGGACAAUGAUAAUGAUAUACAUGCAAAACUCACUUAUGGAAGGUCUAAUAACACACAUUUGUUCUUCAUGGAGAUUUUCCUGGUGGGCACAUGGGAAAUCUGGAAAUUAAGAAAUGACAAAAUCUUCAAUCAAGGCUUGGUUAGUAGAAAUCGCUGGAUAUUCAACUUCAAGAAGCAAGUGCACCUUCAGCUCUUAAGGGUGAAUGAAUCUUUUCAUCCCCAAAUUAUUCAAUGGCUAGAUACAAUUGUAUAGAGCUUUUGCUUUUUUUUUACUAUCAUUUCUACCUCCUGAUGUACUUCUAUAAGUUUUCUGUACCCUAUGCAGUUUAUUUUUUCCAAA